AAGGAAUAUUGGUCAAUGGACGCAAGUCUGAACCAGCCAUGCCGCGUGAAGGAUGAAGGUCCUCUGGAUUGUAAACUUCUUUUAUCUGGGACGAAAACGGGAUUUUUAUCUCAAUUGACGGUACCAGAGGAAUAAGCACCGGCUAACUCCGUGCCAGCAGCCGCGGUAAUACGGAGGGUGCGAGCGUUAUCCGGAUUUACUGGGUUUAAAGGGUGCGUAGGUGGGCUUAUAAGUCAGUGGUGAAAUCUCCGAGCUUAACUUGGAAACUGCCGUUGAUACUAUAGGUCUUGAAUUAUCUGGAGGUAAGCGGAAUAUGUCAUGUAGCGGUGAAAUGCUUAGAUAUGGCAUAGAACACCAAUUGCGAAGGCAGCUUACUACAUAUAAAUUGACGCUGAGGCACGAAAGCGUGGGGAUCAAACA
rnacentral:rRNA from 1 species